UGUCCCUUUUCAUUUGCAGUCAGCGAUAGCUAACAACGUUGCUGUUUUCCGUGCCGAGAAAAGAGAUAGCUAUAGAGACAUGAGGAAGAGAGGCACUACAACAAAAUGCAACGUGCGCACAUCUGGCAAAUAAGAGUUGAGUAGGAGAGAGACGGCUAUGGAAGAAAGAAAAGUGUACCCUAUCCCCUUGAAAGUCUUUUUGAAGUUUUGGUUGGUUGUUUAAAAUAUCGUGGGCAACUUUAACAUUAUGGAUUCAGCGAUAAUAACGGUGGAAAAUAAAACUGAAUUUAUAUAAACAUAGAUUGCAAUAUAACCAUAUUCAGGAAGGUCAAACAUCAUCCGGAGUUCAAAAAGCCUUGCCUUUCCUGUUACGGGGUCGGCAUGACUUGGGCUUGAGAUAAAGUUUGAAUUGUUAACUUUAAAGAGAAAUUAAACCCCCAACUAACAGCGUUCGAAACCUAAACCACCCCAAAAAGCCACCACUGAGCUUACUUGCUCUCAACAUCCUGUCCGACACGUUUUUUGGAUUUUUGAAGUCACACGCAUCAACGAAUCUAUUUCCCCUUCCACCACAUUUCCCAUUAUUUUAGUGCCGGCAUCCAGUGUGCUGGGCUUCUUCAAAGGGGCAUAUUCUUGAAUCGCCUUUUUGUCAUUCCUAUUGCGUGUGCCAAAAAUUUCAUGGCGCAUUGUAAAGGUGACGAAUCUGAUUUUCCUGGAAUGUGUGAAAAUACCAUACUUUAUGUUAUUUAGCGUAGUGUCUGGGCUGCAACAAAUCCAAAUACUAGUAGAGUUUCUAUCGAUAUGCUAAACAACAAUUUGGCUACGUCUACUAUGGGCUUUACCCCCAAAAAGGCAAAAACUCUAAAACCCACGCUUUUGUAAAUUUGUUCGAUGUUUCUUUAUUUCAAUAUUUUUACGCCAAAUUCUAUUAAUGUGAAAAAUAGAAUUUUGAACUUUCUCGAUCACACUACCACGAGCUGAGUAAGUGGUAUCUAAGAGAGUAGACUUUAGCUUUCUCUUUUGUUUUUCCCGAUACUCGUAGAGUAAAGGGGUACACUAGAUUCGUUGAAAAGUACGUAACAGACAGAA